rnacentral:rRNA from 1 species
AUUGAACGCUGGCGGCAGGCCUAACACAUGCAAGUCGAGCGGAAACGAGUUAUCUGAACCUUCGGGGGACGAUAACGGCGUCGAGCGGCGGACGGGUGAGUAAUGCCUAGGAAAUUGCCCUGAUGUGGGGGAUAACCAUUGGAAACGAUGGCUAAUACCGCAUAAUACCUUCGGGUCAAAGAGGGGGACCUUCGGGGCCUCUCGCGUCAGGAUAUGCCUAGGUGGGAUUAGCUAGUUGGUGAGGUAAUGGCUCACCAAGGCGACGAUCCCUAGCUGGUCUGAGAGGAUGAUCAGCCACACUGGAACUGAGACACGGUCCAGACUCCUACGGGAGGCAGCAGUGGGGAAUAUUGCACAAUGGGCGCAAGCCUGAUGCAGCCAUGCGCGUGUGUGAAGAAGGCCUUUCGGGUUGUAAAGCACUUUCAGUCGUGAGAAGGUAGUGUAGUUAAUAGCUGCUUUGACGUUACAGAAGAA